AAAGUUCUUAAGUGACGGUAUCUAACCAGAAAGGGACGGCUAACUACGUGCCAGCAGCCGCGGUAAUACGUAGGUCCCAAGCGUUGUCCGGAUUUAUUGGGCGUAAAGCGAGCGCAGGUGGUUUCUUAAGUCUGAUGUAAAAGGCAGUGGCUCAACCAUUGUGUGCAUUGGAAACUGGGAGACUUGAGUGCAGGAGAGGAGAGUGGAAUUCCAUGUGUAGCGGUGAAAUGCGUAGAUAUAUGGAGGAACACCGGAGGCGAAAGCGGCUCUCUGGCCUGUAACUGACACUGAGGCUCGAAAGCGUGGGGAGCAAACAGGAUUAGAUACCCCUGGUAGUCCACGCCGUAAACGAUGAGUGCUAGCUGUAGGGAGCUAUAAGUUCUCUGUAGCGCAGCUAAUGCAUUAAGCACUCCGCCUGGGGAGUACGACCGCAAGGUUG
rnacentral:rRNA from 1 species